rnacentral:tRNA from 1 species
GGCCCGUUAGCUCAACUGGUAGAGCAGCGGACUCUUAAUCCGCAGGCUGAAGGUUCGAGUCCUUCACGGGUCAC